rnacentral:rRNA from 1 species
CAGCAGCCACGGGAAUGCGUAGGUGGCAAGCGUUGUCCGGAAUUAUUGGGCGUAAAGCGCGCGCAGGUGGUUUAAUAAGUCUGAUGUGAAAGCCCACGGCUCAACCGUGGAGGGUCAUUGGAAACUGUUAAACUUGAGUGCAGGAGAGAAAAGUGGAAUUCCUAGUGUAGCGGUGAAAUGCGUAGAGAUUAGGAGGAACACCAGUGGCGAAGGCGGCUUUUUGGCCUGUAACUGACACUGAGGCGCGAAAGCGUGGGGAGCAAACAGGAUUAGAUACCCCAGUAGUCCCUGUCUCUUAUAC